AUACGUAGGUGGCGAGCGUUGUCCGGAAUUACUGGGUGUAAAGGGCGUGUAGACGGGUAUGCAAGUCAGAUGUGAAAUUCCAGGGCUCAACCCUGGCGCUGCAUCUGAAACUGUAUAUCUUGAGUGCUGGAGAGGAAAGCGGAAUUCCUAGUGUAGCGGUGAAAUGCGUAGAUAUUAGGAAGAACACCAGUGGCGAAGGCGCUUCUCUGGACUGUAACUGACGCUGAGGCUCGAAAGCGUGGGGAGC
rnacentral:rRNA from 1 species